AUCGCUUCUCGGCCUUUUGGCUAAGAUCAAGUGUAGUAUCUGUUCUUAUCAGUUUAAAGUGUUUCACGCUGACGUCAUCGCGCCCUUCCAGGUUAAUAUUAAAAUCACCUGCC
ensembl:snRNA U2 U2 spliceosomal RNA